AUUUAUAGUAUUAAUAGUAUUUAACGGCUCUGAGCAAGUUGUAUGCUGUCCGCCAUUUUCUCCACGGUCGAGCAGCUGUAGCGACAACAAUGUCUGUCCCGGUUUCACAGAUGAGGACAGGUAGGAGAAGAACAUUUGCACAAACUGGCGGUUAGACCUGCUGACCUUGAACAGAUGCCAGGCUGGAUCUAAAAUUGCGUAUCAAUUGUGCGAGUUGUCUCUUACCGUACAAUAUUCUAAUGCUUUCAUCACUUCUACCAUGGACUUGUCCUUCGGCUAUUCAACAUCAGGAGUGGCGCCUUGAUAUGACUUUCCAUACAGGCUGCAAAUCAAUAUGCUUUUAUAUUCUUCAGGAGAGCAAUGACAUCAGUACACCCCCGUCUGCCUCAGACAAACCCUGUAAACAGUGCAUAAUACAGAUAACCCUGGACUUUAGUAACAAAACAAAAAUAAUAAAUUAUCACAGGAUCUUUGGAGUAAAGUGGACACACACACACACACACACACACACACAUCAUGCUACUGUAAAACUGUCAAACCAGACAAGGCUAGACUGGGACAGAUGCCAAACUAGGAGGGAGCACCUACUAUCACCUCUCAUAGUUCUCAGAAAUGAAUAGAUAAAUACCUUCAGGCAAAGCACUGGCAUCCUAUAGCCUACAAAUCUUUGGUAAUGCAGUCUGGAAACGGGCUAGUCAUUUUCUUGUACCGUUGCACUUUAAUAAAGCUUUUACUUCAGCAACAACAAUCACCUCAGAAUCGAUACUGUAUUGUUAUAUUUAGGAAAAAGUGAUUGAA